GAUGAACGCUGGCGGCGUGCCUAACACAUGCAAGUCGAACGGAGAUUACGGACGGAAGUUUUCGGAUGGAAGGCUGUAAUUCUUAGUGGCGGACGGGUGAGUAACGCGUGGGCAACCUGCCCUAUACAGGGGGAUAGCAGCUGGAAACGGCUGGUAAGACCGCAUAAGUCGGCGAGACCGCAUGGUUUUGCCGGGAAAUGAGCAAUCAGGUAUAGGAUGGGCCCGCGUCCGAUUAGCCAGUUGGCAGGGUAAAAGCCUACCAAAGCAACGAUCGGUAGCCGGACUGAGAGGUCGGACGGCCACAUUGGGACUGAGACACGGCCCAAACUCCUACGGGAGGCAGCAGUGGGGGAUAUUGCACAAUGGAGGAAACUCUGAUGCAGCGACGCCGCGUGAGUGAAGAAGUAUUUCGGUAUGUAAAGCUCUAUCAGCAGGGAAGAUGAUGACGGUACCUGACUAAGAAGCCCCGGCUAACUACGUG
rnacentral:rRNA from 1 species